rnacentral:rRNA from 1 species
UACGAAGGGGGCUAGCGUUGCUCGGAAUUACUGGGCGUAAAGCGUGCGUAGGCGGUUGGCUAAGUCAGAUGUGAAAGCCCUGGGCUCAACCUGGGAAUGGCAUUUGAAACUGGCGAGCUAGAGUGUGAUAGAGGAUGGCGGAAUUCCCGGUGUAGCGGUGAAAUGCGUAGAGAUCGGGAGGAACAUCAGUGGCGAAAGCGGCUUCCUGGACCAGAACUGACGAUCAGGCUCGAAAGCGUGGGGAGCAAACAGG